rnacentral:rRNA from 1 species
GUCCACACCGUAAACGUUGGGCGCUAGGUGUGGGAUCCAUUCCACGGGUUCCGUGCCGCAGCUAACGCAUUAAGCGCCCCGCCUGGGGAGUACGGCCGCAAGGCUAAAACUCAAAGGAAUUGACGGGGGCCCGCACAAGCGGCGGAGCAUGCGGAUUAAUUCGAUGCAACGCGAAGAACCUUACCUGGGUUUGACAUGCACCGGGAUGUUCCAGAGAUGGUGCAGCUUUUGCUGGUGUGCAGGUGGUGCAUGGCUGUCGU